GCGUUUGCAACAGACUUACAACAAGCUUUUCAUGUCAAGAUGUUCGCAACAGACCUAGACUUGUAGCGAACAUCUUGUUGACAUGAAAAGCUUGUUGUAAGUCUGUUGCAGACAA